GACGAACCGAGCGAACGUUGUUCGGAAUCACUGGGCUUAAAGGGCGCGUAGGCGGGUGCUCAAGUCCGGGGUGAAAUCCUCCAGCUCAACUGGAGAACUGCCUCGGAUACUGGGUGCCUCGAGGGUGGUAGGGGGUAUGCGGAACUAUCGGUGGAGCGGUGAAAUGCGUUGAUAUCGAUAGGAACUCCGGUGGCGAAGGCGGCAUACUGGACCACAUCUGACGCUGAGGCGCGAAAGCCAGGGGGAGCAAACGGGG
rnacentral:rRNA from 1 species